rnacentral:rRNA from 1 species
UGGGAGCCUGCGUUGGUGGUAAAAGAGGUUUACAACCCGAAGGCCGUCAUCCCCCACGCGGCGUCGCUGCGUCAGGCUUUCGCCCAUUGCGCAAUAUUCCCCACUGCUGCCUCCCGCAGGAGUCUGGGCCGUGUCUCAGUCCCAGUGUGGCCGGUCGCCCUCUCAGGCCGGCUACCCGUAAUCGCCUUGGUAGGCCUUUACCCCACCAACAAGCUGAUAGGCCGCGAGCCCAUCCCUGACCGAAAAACUUUCCACACACCACCAUGAGGUGGCGUGUCAUAUCCGGUAUUAGACGGCGUUUCCACCGCUUAUCCCGGAGUCAGGGGCAGGUUGCUCACGUGUUACUCACCCGUUCGCCGCUCGUGUACCCCGAAGGGCCUUACCGCUCGACUUGCAUGUGUUAAGCACGCCGCCAGCGUUCGUCCUGAGCCAGGAUCAAACUAUAGGGGGGUG